GACGAACGCUGGCGGCGUGCCUAAUACAUGCAAGUUGAGCGCUGAAGCUUGGUACUUGUUCCUCCUGCAUUAGCAGCGAACGGGUGAGUAACGCGUGGGUAAUCUACCUUUGAGCGUGGGACAACUUUUGGAAACGAAUGCUAAUACCGCAUAAAAUCUUUAACCACAUGUUUUAAGUUUGAAAGAUGCUUUUGCUUCCCUCAAUGAUGAUCCCGCCUUGUCUUAGGUAGUUGGUUAGGUUAAGGCCCACCAAGGCGAUGAUACAUAACCGACCUUAGAAGGUGAACGGCCACAAUGGGACUGGGAAAAGGGCCAAAAUUCUAAGGGAGGGAGCAAGAGGGGAACUUCGGGCAUGGACGAAAGUCCGACCGAGCAACGCCGCGGGAGUGAAGAAGGUUUUCGGAUCGUAAAACUCUGGUGGUAGAGAAGAAAGUUGGGGAGAGUGGAAAGCGCAUCAAGUGACGGUAACUAACCAGAAAGGGACGGCUAACUACGUG
rnacentral:rRNA from 1 species